AAGAAACCAGAUCCCUCUGCCUCUCAAGCUAGCCAGCAAUAAUGAGCCAUGGGCUUGCUCAGCAGCUGGACCUGAGAGCAAGACUAGAGGAGGAGAGAGAGGAGAGUUCCAGAAUGUGAGCUCAGAAUUCAUUCCUGGUGGCUGGGGAGAUCAUCAGAGAUGUUAAAGUUGGGGACAAGAGGAGAUGGUUAAGCCCACGUUGGCAGUGACAGUCAGAAUGUCAAAAUGUCUCAGAGGAUUCCUAAGAAAUCUGAGGCGCUUCACAGAGAGCCUGCCCGUGUGAGAGCCCAGCCCGAGUGAAUCGCUAAUGCACGUCACAGGAAGGGGACUCUUCCGAAAUGCUAAUACAAUCAACCUGAAAGGCAAACUUUCAGCUUCCUGCUCUGUGAUCACUGAGGCACUCCUGGAACUGGGCGAAGUCUACUGAUGAGGCCAGGAGCCCUGCUUCCUCAUGCAGCCUGCCCAAGA